rnacentral:rRNA from 1 species
UACGGGGGGGGCAAGCGUUGUUCGGAAUUACUGGGCGUAAAGGGCUCGUAGGUGGCCAACUAAGUCAGACGUGAAAUCCCCAGGCUCAACUUGGGAACUGCGUCUGAUACUGGAUGGCUUGAAUUCGGGAGAGGGAUGCAGAAUUCCAGAUGUAGCGGUGAAAUGCGUAGAUAUCUGGAGGAAUACCGGUGGCGAAGGCGGCAUCCUGGACCGAGAUUGACACUGAUGAGCGAAAGCUAGGGGAGCAAACGGG